GGAAUGAAGCGCCAUGGAGGGUGAGAGCCCCGUCCAUCCCGCACAGGAUCCAUUCGUACAAGGACGCUUCAACCGAGUCGGGUAGCUUGGGAAUGCUGCUCUAAUUGGUGGUAAAUCUCAUCAAAGGCUAAAUAGUGGUGGGAGACCGAUAGCGAACAAGUACCGUGAGGGAAAGAUGGAAAGAACUUUGAAAAGAGAGUGAAAAGCACUUGAAACCGUCACGGGGGAAGCGGAUUGCGUGAGUGAUGGUGUCGCUUGUUCAGCGCUUUAUUGCGUGCAUUCUGGCGGCGCCGUGCCGGCGUGGCUGGCUGGACUGUGAUUUUGACAGUCUCGGCUGGUGAGGGCUCCCUCGUAUGAGGUGAGGACGCGGGCAAAAUGACGCAAUACGACCCGUCUUGAAACACGGACCAAGGAGUCUAGCACGGCUGCGAGUCGAAGAGUGAUUAAACUCAAGGGCGCAGUGAAAGCGAAAUUAUAAGCAAAUUGGGGAGGCGUUGCGUUUUUAACAAAAUGUCCUACCUCGAGCAUUUGUGCUGGGACCCGAAAGAUGGUGAACUAUGCCGGAGUAGGGCAAAGCCAGAGGAAACUCUGGUGGAGGCUCGUAGCGAUGCUGACGUGCAAAUCGCUCGUCGAACUUGGGUAUAGGGGCGAAAGACUAAUCGAACCAUCUAGUAGCUGGUUCC
rnacentral:rRNA from 1 species